rnacentral:snRNA from 1 species
AGACUUGUAGGGUGAUCUGACUGCAACAUUUGUCACCCUAUCGAUCGCCAGGGUUGAGUCAACAGAUCUGGUGUCAAGCAGUGGUGGGAUUCAAUUUUUUUUNUCCAGUCAGAGGUGGGAUUUGCCAGAUCUCCAAACUACUCAAAAUUUCUGCUACCGGUGAAUACCCACCUCUGGUGUCAGGGUUGUGUUAACUAGGCGGGUGUCCCCUUCCUCCCUUACCACUCCAUGUGAGUCCCUCUCAAAGCUGUGUACUUGGUGAAGAGGACAACCUUCCUAGAUAGAAGGAAUGUACUGAUCUUCAGUAAAAGGUAUACAGUGGCUGCCUUCCCCUGCUAGGAUCUCCAAACAAGUUCACGCAGACACUGCACAUCAUCUCAUAAGAAAUAUCUUGUCAACAAAGACCACAUUUUCUUAGAACACUAUAUAUAUUUACUAU